rnacentral:lncRNA from 1 species
UGAUUCGAAUUUCAAAACAUGGUAGAAGAAACGUUAGCUGGUUCCGAAAUAAAAGAGAUUAUGGUCUAAAAUCCAAACUCUUCUUAGUUAGUAAAAAAAUUGGUUUAGCUAUGCUAACACUGUAACAUGUUUCUUAACAUUUACACCAGAAAAAACAAAAAAAAAACUUUGUAACAUGUUAUUGACCAAGAAAACAUAGUAAGAUCUGUUUUUCAACCAGCAAAAAAAACAGUCAACACGAAUUCUUAAACAAACUUAAAGCAACAAUUCUUAAACAACGUUAAAGCGUGAUUCGACACAUUUGCUAAUAUUAAUUUUCUAAAAACAUGUGCUAUUAUUUUGUCAUGUAAUUUAACUAGUUGACCUAAACAUUAGACAACAGUUAUAAUGUCUUUAAAGAUAACUAAAUACAUAAAGUAAUGGGUACCAGCGAGUACCCAAACCUAUGUAUUACAUAAAGUAAGACAUUGGAGUUAGACCAUCUCCUAC